rnacentral:lncRNA from 1 species
UGUAAUCCAACUCAGUGCCCUAGAGGUGGUGUCACCUGGGACUUGAUGCCAACCUCUUGGUGCUCAGCAG